rnacentral:rRNA from 1 species
UACGGGGGGGGCAAGCGUUGUUCGGAAUUACUGGGCGUAAAGGGCUCGUAGGCGGCCAACUAAGUCAGACGUGAAAUCCCUCGGCUUAACCGGGGAACUGCAUCUGAUACUGGAUGGCUUGAGAUUGGGAGAGGGAUGCAGAAUUCCAGGUGUAGCGGUGAAAUGCGUAGAUAUCUGGAGGAACACCGGUGGCGAAGGCGGCAUCCUGGACCAACACUGACGCUGAGGAGCGAAAGCCAGGGGAGCAAACGGG